rnacentral:tRNA from 1 species
GCCUUUGUGGUGUAACGGUAGCACACUCGACGCGUAUUCGAGAGGUCCAGGUUCGAGUCCCGGGAAGGACA